GGGGAAGAGAUGGUCAAGUCGUGAACCAUGACUCCUUGACAGCUAUCGAACUUGAGAUGGCACUGGGAGCUGUUGACAAUCGUUAUCCCAGUUACCGUGACAUUGGAACUACCAUAAAACCUCAGUGCCUGCAUCAAGGUUUAAUCUGUGGCAUCUUAUCGAGCUCCACAUAGUACUGUUGGAAAGCACCCAGGUGACAGUUGGAAGCAGAGGAUUUUGAAGGCAGUGAUGGUGACCUGAGUAUCAUCAGUAACUCCAUCACCCUUAGCUCCAAAGUCCACCACGUUGAAGACUGUAUCCUGUGAUGAUGGCGCUGCUGGUGGUGAA